rnacentral:lncRNA from 1 species
UGUCUUUGCUUGGUUCAAUCGGGGGAUUGAAUCAAGGGUGUAGAGGUUGGUUGGUGAGCCGAGUGUAAAACCAACGUGUAAGGGUUCGAUUGUGAUUCCGGAAAAACAAUCGAGGUGGUUCUAGUCGGUGAGCCAGGGAAAACCGACCGAGUUCGUUGUGAGCUCGUAAAACAACAAGUUUGGUUGUGAGCUUGUAAAACAACCGACUGUAAUCCAAGGGGUUAUAGUGAAUUCCCAAGUGAGACUUGGAGAGUGGACGUAGGAGCAAGGGUUAGCUCCGAACCACUAUAAAACAUUGUGUUUGUGAUUGUUUGUCUCUCUCUAGUUCUCUCACUUCAUUCACAGCACAUAACAACUAAUUAAUCAUCUCACAAAAGCAUUAAUUAGUCAUCCUCAAAAGUUUAAUUGCAAAAUUAUUUUAAAACCCAAUUCACCCCCCC